AACGUAGGACACAAGCGUUAUCCGGAUUUACUGGGCGUAAAGCGCGUGCAGGCGGCCCGACAAGUCGUGCGUGAAAGCUCCCUGGCUCAACCGGGAGAGGUCGUACGAAACUGGCGGGCUAGAGGAUGGCAGAGGCGUGUGGAAUUCCGGGUGUAGUGGUGAAAUGCGUAGAUAUCCGGAGGAACACCAGUGGCGAAGGCGGCACGCUGGGCCAUACCUGACGCUAAGACGCGAAAGCGUGGGUAGCGAACGGG
rnacentral:rRNA from 1 species